rnacentral:rRNA from 1 species
AUGACUUCUUGCGUCCCAUCGCAAGAGGCCUUCGGCCAGGUGGCGCUUGAGAUCAAAGGUGCUCUGCUCCAUGUUAUUCUUCAAACAUCUCUUACUGUUGGGAAUUGUUUCAUUACUUCACAUGUUUCUUUGCAUUUGUUCCAGAUUGUGAUUUACUCUCACUUUGUCAUGUGCAGCAAAUUCUCCUCGAGACGCCCUCUGAUUCCGCCCCCUUGCACUACAGGUCUGGUUCUUACACCUAGAACUGCAUCAUCUAAUUUUUUUUGCUUGGUUGUGCUAUUCUCAUCUUGGAAAUUGCAUAUCUUGGCCGAUGCAAAGGUUGAUGCGAUCUGGCUGCUGUACAGAAAUAUAACGAAAUUUUGCUCUUAA